AUGAAUUAGUAAUAAUAAAGGAAACCUUAUUAAAGGUAGAUCUCAACAGAAUUGGGCCAAAUAUGUUCUAAAUAUUUGGAACUAAUAUCUUUUAAUUUAAAAAUUAAGGUCGUAGCUUCCAAUUUGUAGCAGACUUGGAGUUUUCUGUCUUCAUUGUAUGUUGCUGAAGGUGAGGAUGAGGGUACAGACUAGAAUUUUUUUAGAAAUAGCAAUUUUAGGGAAAUUUGGCUAGCUCUGAUCUGCUGGAAGCUUAACAUUUCUUGGUAGAGAACGUUGCUUUUGUUGAAUUGUAUAGGUGUAAAGGGAAUUUAAAAAGGAAAUGUGCUUUAGGCAAGAAUCAUAAGAUGCCCUUAUCGUUGAUGGCUUUUUUUCUGCUAGUAGUAAACCUCAGCUCUUCUGCCUGGUAACACACAGCCCAAAGUACAAGAUUAUUUUGUCAGUGGGUUUUUAAUCGUUGUUUAGUUUUGUUUUGCUAACCUUUUAAUCAUUGUUUAGUUUUGUUUUGCUAACCCAAUCUAUCUGUGGAACACUGACUCUGCUCUCUAAGGAGAACAAAGUUAGAAAUCUAAAAUAAUUUAGAAAUGAGUUUAAAAUGUGAAGUCAGGAGUUAAAGUCAUAUAAAUCGAAGUAGUGUACGAGAAACAAGCUCCUUCCAUCAUGCCUGUCUACCAUUUCCUCAGGUAUGACUUGAUUUGCAAGAUCCUCUUGUUUUCUUCUCUUUUGAGGCCUGUCUUCCUUUCCUAGUAUGU
rnacentral:lncRNA from 1 species